GUGUCAGCAGCCGCGGUAAUACGAAAGGGGCUAGCGUUGUUCGGAAUUACUGGGCGUAAAGCGCGCGUAGGCGGCCUUGCAAGUUGGGGGUGAAAUCCCGGAGCUCAACUCCGGAACUGCCUUCAAAACUGCAAAGCUAGAGGAUGCGAGAGGUGAGCGGAAUUCCGAGUGUAGAGGUGAAAUUCGUAGAUAUUCGGAAGAACACCAGUGGCGAAGGCGGCUCACUGGCGCAUUUCUGACGCUGAGGCGCGAAAGCGUGGGGAGCAAACAGGAUUAGAUACCCUGGUAGUCCACGCCGUAAACGAUGAGGGCUAGUUGUCGGGCGGCUUGCCGUUCGGUGACGCAGCUAACGCAGUAAGCAUACCACCUGGGGAGUACGUCGGCAACGAUGAAACUUAAAGGAAUUGACGGGG
rnacentral:rRNA from 1 species